rnacentral:rRNA from 1 species
UACGGGGGGAGCAAGCGUUGUUCGGAUUUACUGGGCGUAAAGGGCGCGUAGGCGGCCACCGCAAGUCGGUUGUGAAAUCUCCGGGCUUAACCCGGAAAGGUCACUCGAUACUGCGGGGCUAGAGUGCAGAAGGGGCAACUGGAAUUCUCGGUGUAGCGGUGAAAUGCGUAGAUAUCGAGAGGAACACCUGCGGCGAAGGCGGGUUGCUGGGCCGACACUGACGCUGAGGCGCGAAAGCCAGGGAGCGAACGGG